GAGCGGUGUAAUGGUUAGAGCAUUGGACUAUGAUUCUGGGGACCAGGGUUCAAAUCCCUGCUCA